rnacentral:rRNA from 1 species
GAUGAACGCUGGCGGCGUGCUUAACACAUGCAAGUCGAACGGAAAGGCCCAAGCUUGCUUGGGUGCUCGAGUGGCGAACGGGUGAGUAACACGUGGGUGAUCUGCCCUGCACUUUGGGAUAAGCCUGGGAAACUGGGUCUAAUACCGGAUAGGACCAUCGUUUAGUGUCGGUGGUGGAAAGUUUUUCGGUGUGGGAUGAGCUCGCGGCCUAUCAGCUUGUUGGUGGGGUAAUGGCCUACCAAGGCGUCGACGGGUAGCCGGCCUGAGAGGGUGUACGGCCACAUUGGGACUGAGAUACGGCCCAGACUCCUACGGGAGGCAGCGGUGGGGAAUAUUGCACAAUGGGCGCAAGCCUGAUGCAGCGACGCCGCGUGGGGGAUGACGGCCCUCGGGUUGUAAACUCCUUUCGCCAAGGACGAAGCGUUUUGUGACGGUACUUGGAGAAGAAGCACCGGCUAACUACGUG